rnacentral:rRNA from 1 species
GCGCCUGAAGUCAAGCAAGAACACCCGCUGAACUUAAGCAUAUCACUAAGCGGAGGAAAAGAAACUAACAAGGAUUACCUUAGUAACUGCGAGUGAACCGGUAACAGCUCAGACUUAAAAUCUCUUCUCUUCGGGAAGCGAAUUGUAAGCUGAAGACGCGGCCCUUACGCGAGUCAAUGUGGAGUAACUCGGUUGGAAUACCGGACCAUAGAGGGUGCUAGUCCCGUACCUCCUCAUCGACUGCGGUAGGACGUGUUCACAGAGUCGGGUAGUUUGGGAUUGCUGCCCAAAGUGGGAGGUAGACUCCUUCUAAAGCUAAAUACCUACAGGAGACCGAUAGCGAACAAGUACUGUGAAGGAAAGAUGAAAAGCACUUUGAAAAGAGAGUUAAAAGACUUGAAAUCGCUGAGGAGGAAGCAGUCAGCGUAGCUCAGUCUACAGCGCAAAGUUCCUCACGAGGGGCUAGAAGCUGCGACAGUGCAGAGUGGAGGUAGUGCGACGUGAGACCUAGUGCUGUCAGUACAAGGAUCUGCGCCAAACCACCUCAAGGCACUCCGGUGACUCUGCUGCUACGUUAACUGACCCGUCUUGAAACACGGACCAAGGAGUCUAACAUGCGUGCGAGUAGGAGGGUGUCAAACCCCACUGCGCAACGAAAGUGAACCUUGCCAAAUUGGCAGCAAGGACCGCGUCUAGCGAGUUCAGCAGGCAUGUUGGGACCCGAAAGAUGGUGAACUAUGCUUGGGAAAGGCGAAGCCAGGGGAAACUCUGGUGGAGGCUUGUAGAGAUACU